AUGGAGCUGGUCCAGUCCGGGGCCGGCCUCCAGGCGCCCGGCGGGAGCCUCCGCCUCUCCUGCAAGGGCUCCGGCUUCACCUUCAGCAGCUCCGCCAUGUUGUGGUUCCGACAACCGCCCGGGAAGGCGCCCGAGUUCGUCGCCUAUAUUAACAGCGGUGGUAGUGGCACCAGCUACGCGGAUGCGGUGCAGGGCCGCUUCACCAUCUCCAGGGACAACGGGCAGAGCAGCGUCUACCUGCAGAUGAACAGCCUCAAGGUGGAGGACACGGCCACCUACUACUGC